AAGAUUAUCCAUUUGAAAUAUUCGGUACUUUGGCACUGAUAGAAAGUAUUCAGAGAGAAACCGACGACAGACUCAGGUGAAGAAGAAAUUCCACUAAAAAUAUUGAAAAACUCCUACACAGAUCUUUUAUGAACCUAACUGACUGAAGGUGGUGAGUUUGGGUUCUGAUUUUGUCGACUGUUAGAAGACUUGAGAGUAAAUGAAAAGGAUUUUCUUGUGUUCUUACUGAUUAAUGAUUGAAGGGAGGAUUUCAACCUUAUUUCUUUUUGCUCCGAUCAUUUGAACGCAUAUAAUAUCAUCUUCAAUGAUUCAAUCACUCAAUUGUUAUCAAUUUUGUUAUCAAAUUAAGUAUGAAGAACCCAGGGUUUCUUUAGGAUUUGAUUUCAACUCUGCCUGGUACUGAAACAUGAUAGGAUUAGAACUCGAAAUAAAGAUGUGAAUAGUGAAUUCUAUGAAUCUGUGGAACACCGAGAAACUUAGGGUUUCUUUUGAAGCCAUUAAUUUUUUUUAUAAUAAUCUUACUAAUGUAAUUUGAUUUGCCUUCUGCUCCUUACUGUGAUUUUACUAAUACUUCUUAUUUAUAUUUGCAGUAUAACAUAAGAAACGCAGAGCACAAGUUCUAGAGCUACAGCAUCACAGCAAAACAUGUCCAGCUCUUCUUCAGUAACACCAAAGAUGCACCUCACAUUUGACUAAGGUUUGAAGCCCGUGAGAGAUAGUGCUACUAGAUUGUAUACUAGAGCAGGAGAGAUCAUAAGAAUUCAUGUUCCGAUUAACUUCACUGACUGGAGGCUCGUGCCUGAUAAUUUCAAAGAUGAUGUUUGGGAAGCUUUAUUGGGGGAUAGUUUGACUCACGAUCAGAAGACGAACAACUUAUGGUGAUCUCCCAAGUGCUUGCAGCGGACAUUAACAUUGGGUACGAGGGGAUCGUGCAUAUUCAGGUCAGGACAUAGGACCCUACUGACUGCACAAAAUUUUUGGUAACAUGAUAAUGUAGUAUAUGGCAUGGUUGACAGAAGAGCAUGUGAACUUGUGUUUGGACUGAAUUUCUACAAAGGUAAUACAACGCUACAUUUCAUGGUCUCAUUUUUACAUGUUUAAAUGAAUAAUUCUAGGGUUAUUUAACGUAUGGUACCCAAUAAAUGUCCAACACCUAGCUUUGGUACCCAAAAUUUGAAAUAUUAAGCGUGGAUACCUUGACCCGUGAGAGACUGUGAAGUCAAACGGUUGACUUAACCUUUCGGUAACUAAAUAACUAAAAUUAAUAAUAAACAAUAAUUAUUUAACGAAUUGUUUAUGAUCCGUUAGUAUUUGACCCUACGAAUUUAAUCUUGCGGUUAGAAAUCAACCAAUCCAACGGCUCAUGUGAUAGUUUGUGUAUAUGCUUUCAUGCGGUCACAUCUUAUCAUCAUUUUCUUCGUCUUCUUCCAUGCCGACCAACCACCACAAACUCAAUCCAAUCCACUCGAGUUCCACCAUCAAUUAUUCAGCAACAGAAACUAACUCAAACCCAAUACUUCAUUCUCCGCUUCUCAUCAAUCACUAAAGAAACCAAACUCAAAUAUUCUUUCAAACGAACAUCAUUAAUGAUAUAUCAUCAUUGCCAUCUACAAGAACUUCAUCAACUUAGCAGCCAACAUCAAUCAAUGGAAAUAACCAUCAUCAAUAUCUGUCGUAUUUAAUCUCUUCUAACCCAUCACUAAAAAACCAUACGAAACAUGGUAUGGUAUCAGCAACAACGGACUUGGCAGUGGAGCUGAUUGCUCAGGCAUUUAAACAAACACCAUGUAUGUGUUUUAACUGGUGGUGAAUGACAAAAACGGUGAAGUUGUUAUUGAUCUCUUGUUUAGUUUCUUCUCUGCAUUCAUGAAUCCAUACACAAUACAUAAUUCAUAUUAUUCGUACAUGAUUCUCAACCAAGUCCUAAACUAUCAGCAUACCCAAUGAAUUCAUGGCAACUGUUCUUCUUCUUCCUUAUGUUCUUGUUCAAGAGCACUGCCCAAAUUCAACCCAAAUGAUCAUUGCUUUUUAUGUCAGUAUAAUCAUACAUCUUCCUUACUCUUAUCAUCGAAAUGUCACAAUCUCUAACAACAAGCAACAGAAACCCAUCUUUCUCUACCAGGGGUUAGUCCACGAGUGAGUUGGAGGAAGUUUAAUGUAUUUUGAAUCUUGGGAAUUUUGAGGGAGUGGAAGAGAGUAUAGGGAGUUUGAGAGAGUUUGGUG